AAAUUAGCUUGCGAACAGGCUCUCAAGCUGAGUUGAGAGCCUGCAUCGAUGACCAAUGAAUUUGAAUAUCUGCCCCGUAACGUUCGUUUUUCCAAAUAUGGAAUGUCUAUCCUUAUAUGGUGUUGUUUACAACUUUCGUGCAAACUAAAUUUAGACCGUGCAAACUAAAUUUAGACGGUACAGUUUAUACUGUUUUUCAAAAUAUAAGAUAUUCAAGCAAAAGUUCAAAUGUUUUAAAUACUGUUUUCUCAAAACAGAACAUUUCGUGCUUUGAGAUAAGACGGCCAAGACCAAUUUG